rnacentral:rRNA from 1 species
GUAGGGAAUCUUCCACAAUGGACGAAAGUCUGAUGGAGCAACGCCGCGUGAGUGAAGAAGGUCUUCGGAUCGUAAAACUCUGUUGUUAGAGAAGAACGUGCAUGAUAGUAACCGAUCAUGUAAUGACGGUAUCUAACCAGAAAGCCACGGCUAACUACGUGCCAGCAGCCGCGGUAAUACGUAGGUGGCAAGCGUUGUCCGGAUUUAUUGGGCGUAAAGGGAACGCAGGCGGUUGUUUAAGUCUGAUGUGAAAGCCUUCGGCUUAACCGAAGAAUAGCAGUGGAAACUGGAAGACUUGAGUGCAGAAGAGGAGAGUGGAAUUCCAUGUGUAGCGGUGAAAUGCGUAGAUAUAUGGAGGAACACCAGUGGCGAAAGCGGCCACCUGGACAGGUACUGACGCUGAGGCGCGAAAGCGUGGGGAGCAAACAUGAUUAGAAACCCUAGUAGUCC